rnacentral:rRNA from 1 species
AUUGAACGCUGGCGGCAGGCCUAACACAUGCAAGUCGAGCGGAGCGGCGCACGGGUGAGUAAUGCCUAGGAAUCUGCCUGGUAGUGGGGGAUAACGUUCGGUAACGGGCGCUCAUACCGCUUACUAUCAGUUGAGUCUAGGUCGGAUUAGCUAGUUGGUGGGGUAAAGGCCUACCAAGGCGACGAUCCCUAACUGGUCUGAGAGGAUGAUCAGUCACACUGGAACUGAGACACGGUCCAGACUCGUACGGGAGGCAGAAGUGGGGAAUAUUGGGCAAUGGGCGAAAGCCUAAUCCAGCCAUGCCGCGUGCGUGAAGAAGGUCUUCGGAUUGUAAAGCACUUUAAGUUGGGAGGCGUUACCAACAGAAUAAGCACCGGCUAACUUCGUGCCAGCAGCCGCGGUAAUAC